rnacentral:rRNA from 1 species
UACGUAGGAGGCGAGCGUUGUCCGGAAUUACUGGGCGUAAAGCGCGCGUAGGCGGUUUCUUGCGUAGGCGGUGAAAGCCCCCGGCUCACCUGGGGGAGUGCCGCCUAAACGGGGAGACUUUGAGGGCGGUAGGGGCUGGCGGAACGCCCGGAGUAGCGGUGAAAUGCGUUGAGAUCGGGCAGAACACCAGUGGCGAAGGCGGCCGGCUGGGCCGACCCUGACGCUGAGGCGCGAAAGCCAGGGGAGCGAACGG